GUAGGGGGCAAGCGUUAUCCGGAUUUACUGGGUGUAAAGGGAGCGUAGACGGAUGGACAAGUCUGAUGUGAAAGGCUGGGGCUCAACCCCGGGACUGCAUUGGAAACUGCCCGUCUUGAGUGCCGGAGAGGUAAGCGGAAUUCCUAGUGUAGCGGUGAAAUGCGUAGAUAUUAGGAGGAACACCAGUGGCGAAGGCGGCUUACUGGACGGUAACUGACGUUGAGGCUCGAAAGCGUGGGGAGCAAACAGGAUUAGAUACCCUGGUAGUCACGCGGUAAACGAUGAAUGCUAGGUGUCGGGUGACAAAGUCAUUCGGUGCCGCCGCAAACGCAUUAAGCAUUCCACCUGGGGAGUACGUUCGCAAGAAUG
rnacentral:rRNA from 1 species